CCGGGAUGGAGGAGAACCUCUCCAGCAUUAAGUCGUCCGUGUGAUGGUGGAGGUGCUGGUGAUGCAGCGCCGAGUCGUGGAGCCCCAAUCACGCUGAAGUUCACAGACCCAGACCAAACAAGAUUUGCACUCUCCGCCGCUUCUCAACUUGGCCCAUUUAAACAGCGGCGGCUCGGCGGAGCCGCGAGAGGAGGGGGGACUGCGACGGACGACGCUUAAGUGCGUAAACUGGAGUGACCAUCUGACGCCACUUUUCCCUCUCUUCUCCAACUUCCACUCACCUGCUGCGGUCGCCUUAAACUAUGUGUUAUGUUCCCCUGAGCUCCUGGAGCUCGUGAGCCGAACCACAUCUGACCCCCAUCAGUGGAGAACCACCCAGGUGGAUCCACCACCAACACAUGGAAUAGCCAUUCCAGAAGCAGAGGUGGGGUCCAAAACGCCGUGUGUCAGGGGCCUAUAAAUCAGGCCAAACUGCCUCUGACACACACAGGAAGGAGGCACACCGCACCGCAGGCGGAAGCGGUACACGGGGAGGCCAGAGACCACAGCAUGGCCAGAGCUGGUGUCGUGCCUACAGCCGGCAGGCAAGCAGACAUUUACAAAAACACCCGGCAGCUACCUCAUCGAAGACAGCGAGGGACAGAAGAUUGACGUUCCUCCUUCUGGAACUGAGGAGUUGUGAUGUCUCAGGAAAAUGUCAUGGAAUGAAUGGGUUUGUGUUUGUGGAUCCGAAAGAGACCAAAAAUGAUUUUAACUGAAAUCUUUUACCCAAGAGCUUCUACCUUUAGAAGUGAACGCCGUGUGCUAAAUGAAAUCGAAAGGCAGGAUUUCAAACCAACCAGUAAUGUCCCUUCACAUGUGUUGGUAAGCGCUCUAAACACAAGCAGUGACAUCAAUCAUGAGCUGUUGACAUGUAUGGCGUAUGUUUACAAACCCAUUUCUAGGAAGUGGAACAUGACGUUUCAGAGGAGACGCUCUUUGAUUCUGUCUCCACCCAACCAGCCCUCACCACAUCGACAUGUCGGGAUGGAAACCUUGCUGAUGUGUGCGUUGGUGCUGGAGGUGGCAGCAUCGGGAGAGCCCUGAUGAAACCAGUCAUAAAGGGGACGCCCAUACUCACUCCUACACACAGUCACACCCCGAUUGUGACUCAUUGUCCAUGGCUCAUCACGGAGGGGUUCCCCAAACGUGUACGGUAAUGACACUUCAACAUCUUCAAAACCCGUAAACUGAACAGAGUUUUCCAUCAGCCUUUGUGUCUCUUUCAUAAAAAGAUUUCAUGUUUUUGUGAAACCUUAUUUAACCUUUGUACCUCAACCUUUUCUUACAUCUUGCUUCUUCUACUCCUGUGUAAAAAAACUAAGCUGCUCAAUACACCCCAUGAAUUUAGAAAAAAUUAGUAAAUACUAAUAUCAGGACAUAGCUCUAUUAUAGUAACUUUUAUUCAUGUGUCCCUCACAUGUCACAACUGAAAGAGGUUCCAACUAUUUAUUAACCAGACCAAUUUAGAGCACAGAAAUAAAUAACCCUGCAUGUUUAGAUUCUAAUAAUCUUUUAUUUUUCUAGUAUCUAUGUCACGACUUUUCAGGUUUGGUUUUAGACUCCACAGCAAGACUUUGAAUGAAGGAAUAAAAGGAAAACGAUUGCCUUUUACUCAAAAUGCAAAGAUACGAGCUCCUCACGACGAAGACACUGGUGCCGCCUCCUCUUAUAGUUUCUCUUUCUAUCACUGAAUGCCGUUUCAAGUAGGAUUCAUCUGGUGAGUCUACAACUCUAACUCCCUUCUGAGGCUGGCAGCAAACCCAUCAGUAAACACUCUUUAUUUUCAUUUAUUUCUUAUGUGUAGCAUUGGCAGAUUUCAUCAGUACCCACAGAAGAAAUCAAAUCUAUCAAGAGUUAAAAUGAUUAAAAAGAUUUUAGAUUAGACAAAUAAUAAAUAAAGAGAGAGGUCAGUACCUGGUUCCUUCCAUUGUGUUGUUAUUAUAAAUAUGUUACACUAAUGUUCACAUACAGAUCAUGUUACACUGUUUUCACACUAUAUUUUUGUCUAUCUCCAGAUAUUUUAACUCAACUGUUCUUUCUUUUAUGACAGUUUAUGUUUGUAUAACGUUUAAAUUAAAUGGUUUUCAUGUUGCUGUAAGUGUACGAAAAAGGAGCAUUUCACUUCGUGAAACUGAUAUUAUUUUAAUAAAAUGAAUGAUGAUCAUAAU